GGAGGCGUAGCUCAGUCGGUUAGAGCGCUUGCUUCACAUGCAAGAAGUCGGGGGUUCGAGUCCCUCCGUCUCCACCA
rnacentral:tRNA from 1 species